rnacentral:pre_miRNA from 1 species
AGUGGGAUAACUGGUUCAAAUGGUCAUUACAUUCCAGAUUUUCUUAGGAAUCUCCAAACUGCUUUCCAGAGUAGUUGCAUCAUUUUGCAGUCCCACCAGCAAU